rnacentral:lncRNA from 1 species
AUAACCACUUUUACCAAGCCUUGCGGCGUUGAUCAGAAAGGAAGGAGAAGACUUCGAGCGUCUGGUUCAUCAAACCCAGGGUGUCGCGGGGUGCGGUAGACUGCGACAGGCAAAGAAACGGAAGACGACUGGUUUCUUGGUUCUCCUCUGAAGACGACGGGGUAUCGCGAGUUCUUGACGGUGCACGAUUUCUCCGUUAGAAGUGAGUCUUUAGUUGGUGAUCACACGCGGUUCGUGAAACGAUCUCGGUUCUGGACAAUCUCUCAAGCAAUCAUAGAUGAUUGAUAAGGUAGUUGUGGAUAUAAUGGUUGUUGAAGUUAUCGUAGGAUUCGUGAUUCGUUUCGUUCCUCCAGCUUUUGUUAACCCGGACACUUUAUUAAGGUAAGAAGAAGGUUUGAAUGUUGGCGGCUCUUUGGCAUAGGCAGUGGUUACCCGGCAUCUUUUAAUGUUUUGGCAUUUCCCGUGUUUUGAACAACUAAAACACUUUAGUCGUUUGGUACUUUGAAGUUUGCUUCGUACUUCAUUUAAAUUUUUUUUCCGCUAUGUAUUGAUGACAUUUUGGUCUAGAACUAU